AUUGAACGCUGGCGGCAUGCCUUACACAUGCAAGUCGAACGGUAACAGGUUAAGCUGACGAGUGGCGAACGGGUGAGUAAUACAUCUGAACGUGCUCAGUAGUGGGGGAUAGCACGGCGAAAGCCGGAUCAACACCGCAUACGACCCACGGGUGAAAGGGGGGGAUCGCAAGAUCUCUCGCUAUUGGAGCGGCAGAUGUAAGAGUAGGUAGUUGGUGGGGUAAAGGCGUACCAAGCCAACGAGCUGUAGCUGGUAUGAGAGGACGACCAGCCACACUGGGACUGAGACACGGCCCAGACUCCUCCGGGAGGCAGCAGUGGGGAAUUUUGGACAAUGGGCGCAAGCCUGAUCCAGCCAUGCCGCGUGCGGGAAGAAGGCCUUCGGGUUGUAAACCGCUUUUGUCAGGGAAGAAACGCUCCGAGAUAAUACCUCGGGGUAAUGACGGUACCUGAAGAAUAAGCACCGGCUAACUACGUGCCAGCCGCCGCGGUAA
rnacentral:rRNA from 1 species